rnacentral:tRNA from 1 species
GGGCCGGUAGCUCAGCGGUAGAGCAGGAGACUUUUAAUCUCUUGGUCCUGGGUUCGAUCCCCAGCCGGCUCACAA